AGUGAACGCUGGCGGCGUGCCUAAUACAUGCAAGUCGAACGGAAUUUAAAAGAGCUUGCUCUUUUAAAUUUAGUGGCGCACGGGUGAGUAAUAUAUAGCUAAUCUGCCCCUUGCUGGAGGACAACAGUUAGAAAUGACUGCUAAUACUCCAUACUCCUUUUUACCAUAAGAUAAAUCGGGAAAGAAUUUCGGCAAGGGAUGAGACUAUAUUGUAUCAGCUAGUCGGUGGGGUAACGGCCUACCGAGGCUAUGACGCGUAACUGGUCUGAGAGGAUGAUCAGUCACAUUGGAACUGAGACACGGUCCAAACUCCUACGGGGGCAGCAGUAGGGAAUAUUGCGCAAUGGGGGAAACCCUGACGCAGCAACGCCGCGUGGAGGAUGACACUUUUCGGAGCGUAAACUCCUUUUGUUAGGGAAGAAUAAGACGGU
rnacentral:rRNA from 1 species